UCUUUUCCUUUGUAUUUUAUAUUCCCUUAGUGUUGUUAUCGUUAUCCUGCUUUCGUGUAGUUCCUUAAAUUGCUGAACAAAGCAGCAUCUACAAUUCAAUUGGAUGCAGCAUUACGCUAAUGAGGAGUUCUUUUCUCUAACUUCAAUCAAGGAAAUUAUAUUUGUCAAGUCUUAAGGUCUUGUUGAAUUUCUUACCAACAUCUGGUUGCCAUUGAUACAGUUCUCCAACAACAGGAAAUGAAGUCAACCACAUACUAGGAGGAGUUUGAAGGCAAAGGAACAGUUUGGAGAUCUUUUAUGUUAUUUUUUGGGUCAUGUAUAUAUACAUAGAAAAUGUA